rnacentral:snRNA from 1 species
AGCUUUGCGCAGUGGCAGUAUCGUAGCCAAUGAGGUUUAUCCAAGGCGCAAUUACUGCUAAUUGAAAACUUUUCCCAAUACCCCGCCAUGACGACUUGAAAUAUAGUCAGCACUGGCAAUUUUUGACAGUCUCUAUGGAGA